UAGGGAAUUUUCGUCAAUGGGGGGAACCCUGAACGAGCAAUGCCGCGUGUGUGAAGAAGGUCUUCGGAUCGUAAAGCACUGUUGUAAGUGAAGAAUGCCAUAUAGAGGAAAUGCUAUGUGGGUGACGGUAGCUUACCAGAAAGCCACGGCUAACUACGUGCCAGCAGCCGCGGUAAUACGUAGGUGGCAAGCGUUAUCCGGAAUCAUUGGGCGUAAAGGGUGCGUAGGUGGCACGAUAAGUCUGAAGUAAAAGGCAACAGCUCAACUGUUGUAUGCUUUGGAAACUGUCGAGCUAGAGUGCAGAAGAGGGCGAUGGAAUUCCAUGUGUAGCGGUAAAAUGCGUAGAUAUAUGGAGGAACACCAGUGGCGAAGGCGGUCGCCAUGGUCUGUAACUGACACUGAUGCACGAAAGCGUGGGGAGCAAAUAGGAUUAGAUACC
rnacentral:rRNA from 1 species